rnacentral:rRNA from 1 species
CGGGAGGCAGCAGUCGGGAAUAUUGCGCAAUGGAGGAAACUCUGACGCAGUGACGCCGCGUGCAGGAAGAAGGUUUUCGGAUUGUAAACUGCUUUAGACAGGGACGAAAUAAAUGACGGUACCUGUAGAAUAAGCUCCGGCUAACUACGUGCCAGCAGCCGCGGUAAUACGUAGGGAGCAAGCGUUAUCCGGAUUUAUUGGGUGUAAAGGGUGCGUAGACGGAAAGACAAGUUAGUUGUGGAAUACCCCGGCUUAACUGAGGAACUGCAACUAAAACUAUCUAUCUUGAGUACUGGAGGGGAAAGCGGAAUUCCUAGUGUAGCGGUGAAAUGCGUAGAUAUUAGGAAGAACACCGGUGGCGAAGGCGGCUUUCUGGACAGUAACUGACGUUGAUGCACGAAAGUGUGGGGAGCAAACAGGAUUAGAUACCCUGGUAGUCCACACCGUAAACGAUGGAUACUAGGUGUAGGUGAUGAUAAGUCAUCUGUGCCGUCGCAAACGCAGUAAGUAUCCCACCUGGGGAGUACGGCCGCAAGGUUGCAACUCAAAGGAAUUGACG